CAGCUUUCUGGACAGUACUGACGCUCAGGCACGAAAGCCAAGGGAGAGAACAGGAUUAGAUACCCUGGUAUUCUUGGCCCUAAACGAUGUUCACUAGGUGUCGGGUUUUCUCGGUACCGCAGCUAACGCAUUAAGUGAACCGCCUGGGGACUACGGCCGCAAGGUUGAAACUCAAAGGAAUUGGCGGGGGCCCGCACAAGCGGUGGAGCAUGUGGCUUAAUUCGAUGCAACGCGAAGAACCUUACCAGGGCUUGACAUGUACCUGCAAUCUCCCCAAAAGGAGCCGCCUUCGAGGGUGGUACACAGGUGGUGCAUGGCUGUCGUCAGCUCGUGUUGUGAAAUGUUGGGUUAAGUCCCGCAACGAGCGCAACCCUCAUGUUUUGUUGCCAGCGAGUAAUGUCGGGAACUCGAAACAAACUGCCUCUGUAAGGAGGAGGAAGGUGGGGACGACGUCAAGUCAUCAUGCCCCUUACGCCCUGGGCUGCACACAUGCUACAAUGGCCGGUACAAUGGGUUGCUAACCCGCGAGGGCAUGCUAAUCUCAAAAAACCGGUCUCAGUUCGGAUUGGAGUCUGCAACUCGACUCCAUGAAGUUGGAAUCGCUAGUAACCGCAGGUCAGCAAUACUGCGGUGAAUACGUUCCCGGGCCUUGCACACACCGCCCGUCACGCCACGAAAGUCGGUCUUACCCGAAGUCGCCGCGCCAACCGCAAGGAGGCAAGCGCCGAAGGUAGGGCUGGUGAUUGGGACGAAGUCGUAACAAGGUAACCAAGGG
rnacentral:rRNA from 1 species